rnacentral:lncRNA from 1 species
GCAAGAGCUGCUGCCUCAUUCCUGAAAAUCCCAGUCCUCUCCUGUGUCUGGAGUAGUGGUGCUGUGGGGUUCCUGAUAUGUCCUGUACUGCACUGACUUGUGUCUCUUGGCUGGUUUUCUACCUUCAGGUGGGCAGCACCUCUCAGGGCUCCAUGCCUCACCUGAGCUUUGACGAGGAAGAUGCUGCAUCACUGGCAGCACAUGUUUGGUGGUAUCAGGUAUCUGUGGUAGAAGAGCAUGCUGGAUUCCUGCCAGUGUUUGCAGUGAGGCAGUUACCUGAGUCUCGAUGCUGUUCAGUGGAUGAGUGGAGUGGUACGUGCAGGAGAAACUAAGCUCAACCAAAGGAGGAAACUGAAAAAAACCCAGAAGGAUAUUAAUCAGACAAGACAUGAGUAACCUGAAGAAGAGGUGAGUUAUAAAUUUCCACAUUCAGAGGACACUGCUUGCCUUGUACCUUUCAAACUUGUUAGUGCCACUGCUGAUUCAAGCAGUAUUUCUGGCA